rnacentral:rRNA from 1 species
CCUUCCGCCUAUAUACCGCCGUCGUAAGCUUACCCCGUGAGGGGAUGAUAGUGAGCUAAACUGGUAAAGCCCAAAACGUCAGGUCGAGGUGUAGCUUAUGGAGAGGCCAGAAAUGGGCUACAUUCCCUACCACCAGGGAACACAGACAACGCACUGAAACACACGUUCGAAGGUGGAUUUAGUAGUAAGCAGCAAGCAGACUGUCCUGCUGAAACCGGCUCUGAAGCGCGCACACACCGCCCGUCACUCUCCCCAAACAUACCCUCCUUUCCAUUAAAUAAAAAACCACCUUUGUAAAGGGGAGGCAAGUCGUAACAUGGUAAGUGUACCGGAAGGUGUACUUGGAAGAAA